rnacentral:rRNA from 1 species
AAAUUCUCGUAGUCGAAUCUGAAAGGUUGAUCGACCACAUUGGGUCUGAAAAAACCCCAAUGCAAGUAAGUACAGCAGUGAGGAAUUUUGGUCAAUGGCCUAACGGCUGAACUGGCAACUUGGAGAAGUGGCAAGUCUUAUUUUGAUUAUAUUAUAUGUAAUCUAUAAGAUUGUAUUAAAAUUGAAUAAAGCUUUGUUUAUAUAUUGAUAAUGACAGUAUAUAUAUCGUGUCUUGACUAAUUACGUGCCAGCAGUCGCGGUAAUACGUAAGAGACUAGUGUUAUUCAUCUUAAUUAGGUUUAAAGGGUACCUAGACGGUCAACAUAGCUUUUAGAAUGUUAGUAUUUGACUAGAGUUUGAUAUAAGAGGGCAG